rnacentral:rRNA from 1 species
GACGAACGCUGGCGGCGUGCUUAACACAUGCAAGUCGAACGGAAAGGCCCUGCUUUUGUGGGGUGCUCGAGCGGCGAACGGGUGAGUAACACGUGAGUAACCUGCCCUUGACUUUGGGAUAACUUCAGGAAACUGGGGCUAAUACCGGAUAGGAGCUCCUGCUGCAUGGUGGGGGUUGGAAAGUUUCGGCGGUUGGGGAUGGACUCGCGGCUUAUCAGCUUGUUGGUGGGGUAGUGGCUUACCAAGGCUUUGACGGGUAGCCGGCCUGAGAGGGUGACCGGCCACAUUGGGACGGAGAUACGGCCCAGACUCCUACGGGAGGCAGCAGUGGGGAAUAUUGCACAAUGGGCGGAAGCCUGAUGCAGCAACGCCGCGUGCGGGAUGACGGCCUUCGGGUUGUAAACCGCUUUCGCCUGUGACGAAGCGUGAGUGACGGUAAUGGGUAAAGAAGCACCGGCUAACUACGU